UACGUAGGGUGCGAGCGUUGUCCGGAAUUAUUGGGCGUAAAGAGCUCGUAGGCGGUUUGUCGCGUCUGCUGUGAAAACUCGGGGCUUAACCCCAGUCCUGCUUCCGAUACGGGUGGACUAGAGGUAGGUAGGGGAGAACGGAAUUCCUGGUGUAGCGGUGAAAUGCGCAGAUAUCAGGAGGAACACCGGUGGCGAAGGCGGUUCUCUGGGCCUUACCUGACGCUGAGGAGCGAAAGCAUGGGGAGCAAACAGG
rnacentral:rRNA from 1 species